rnacentral:rRNA from 1 species
CCCUUAGAUGUCCUGGGCCGCACGCGCGCUACACUGAUGCAUUCAACGAGUCUAAAACCUGGUCUGAUAGGGCUGGGUAAUCUUUUGAAUGUGCAUCGUGAUUGGGAUAGAUGAUUGCAAUUCUUCAUCUUCAACGAGGAAUGCCUAGUAAACGCAAGUCAUCAGCUUGCAUUGAUUACGUCCCUGCCCUUUGUACACACCGCCCGUCGCUCCUACCGAUUGAAUGUUCCGAUGAAUACCAUGGACUGAGAGUAUGAAUGGGUUCGCCUAUUUCUGCUUCUCGGGAAGUGGAGUAAAUCUUAACAUUUAGAGGAAGGAGAAGUCGUAACA